rnacentral:rRNA from 1 species
ACAAACGCUGGCGGCGUGCCUAAUACAUGCAAGUCGAACGGGGAAAGCUUUCGGGUGAGUACUAGUGGUGCACGGGUGAGGAACGCGUGGAUAAUCUGCCUUAGAGUGGGGGAUAACUAGUCGAAAGAUUAGCUAAUACCGCAUAAGACCACGAGAGCUGCGGCUUUUGAGGUCAAAGGUUUUUCGCUCUAAGAUGAGUCCGCGUAAGAUUAGCUAGUUGGUGAGGUAACGGCUCACCAAGGCGACGAUCUUUAACUGGUCUGAGAGGAUGAUCAGUCACACUGGAACUGAGACACGGUCCAGACUCCUACGGGAGGCAGCAGUAGGGAAUAUUGCACAAUGGAGGAAACUCUGAUGCAGCGACGCCGCGUGAGUGAUGAAGGCCUUCGGGUCGUAAAGCUCUGUCGCAGGGGAAUAACACAAUGAAGGUACCCUGUAAGAAAGGAUCGGCUAACUUCGUG